ensembl:rRNA 5S_rRNA 5S ribosomal RNA
AUGAACGGCCAUACCACCUUAGGCACGCCCGAUCUCGCCUGAUCUCGGAAGCUAAGCAGGGUCGGGCCUGGUUAGUACUUGGAUGGGUGACCGCCUGGGAAUACCAGGUGCUGUAAGCA